AUAUUCGCCACGAUUUUUGGUUUUUUAUGCUCUUGUAACAUUUAGCAUAAGAAUUAAAAGGGAAUUUGGUGUAAAUCCAAAACUGUUCCCGCAACUGUAAAGCUUAUUAAAGGCUUCAUUAAUAAAAACCACUGUAGUUAAAACUAUGGGAAGGUAAAUGAACGCUAAGUUAAGUCAGGAGACCUGCCUAAAUCAAAAACAUAAU
rnacentral:ncRNA from 1 species